UUUAUUGGAGAGUUUGAUCCUGGCUCAGGAUGAACGCUGGCGGCGUGCCUAAUACAUGCAAGUCGAGCGAAUGGAUUGAGAGCUUGCUCUCAAGAAGUUAGCGGCGGACGGGUGAGUAACACGUGGGUAACCUGCCCAUAAGACUGGGAUAACUCCGGGAAACCGGGGCUAAUACCGGAUAA
rnacentral:rRNA from 10 species